rnacentral:misc_RNA from 1 species
GUGAAUCAUCAAAUUUUUGAACGCAAAUCGCGCUUCCUAGCAUCCCGGGAAGUAUGCCUGUUUGAGGGUCAGUAUUAACAAAAAACUCGGCUUGGUUGUAAAUUGUGACGUUUCCGGAGUUUGGGCUUAUCUUCACUUUUUUGGUUAAGGGGCUUAAAAUUGACCUUAUUUGCGCAUUUUUAGACGUACAUAAAUUCUUUUUUUUAUUCGCCCGUUUUAAUGCUUAAACUCCUAUUAGAUGC